GUACAGGUGCUAGAGUGGUUAAUAGGGUGGAUUGCAAAUCCAUUGUUCGUGAGUUCGAAUCUCACCCAGCACU
rnacentral:tRNA from 1 species